UGGGAUAUAACUCAGUGGUAGAGCACUUGCCUGGCAUGUAUGGAGGCCCUGGGUUCAAUUCCCAGCAGCCCUG
rfam:Ictidomys tridecemlineatus contig056998, whole genome shotgun sequence.